CUCUGGGGAUCUUUAUCUAUGAAAGACGAUUGAAUUAUGUCUCCUUGCACAGCUGGAGGAAUUGAGUUACAGCCACCAUAAUGCACAACAACAGACUGCUUGUAUCAGACCUGAGUCAAGACAACAAGAGCCAUACACAUAGAUAGAUGCUAAUUUAGCAACAAGUGAGUCCUCCUGAUUAUAAGGACAUCAAAAAAGCAGGAAAAACACAGCAAAUAGCAGAACAAUACUCUCUAUUUUCUUUCAACAAAGACAUUCUCACAAUGGCUUCCAAAGUUAAGAGGAUUGUAUGCUGCCUUAUUGAUUUUUGUUGCUGUGUCCGGGAGAUGGCGCCGGGAAAAUGAGGUCUGGCUUGGAGGUUUAUGUCCUGCCACAGUGAGGAGGAAACGUGAGCUGAGGAUUCAGCUGGCCUUUUAUUGUAAAUGCGCUCCCUCUAGAUGGACUUAAAGUGUCUGUUUUCCUGGCUAUAGGAGGGAAUUAAAUAUGAAGGGUAUCCGUAAAUGGGCAGGAAGACUCCAAACGAGUGCUUAGGGACAGUUUCCCAUUAUUGUCAUCUAUUAUCUUGGACAGAUAGUGAUGUGGGCCACUGAGUUGUCGAUUGCAAUCCUCUGCACAUAGGUGACAGACAGACACACAGACAGGUUGUGGGUUAUGUGAAAACAAAGCAGUGCAGUUAAUUGUGAGAGGGAUAAUUUGGGGCUAGUUUGUACCACAAUCAAAUAGAAGUCAUUCAUAAUUAAUGCAGGAUGCAAAACACUGCAAUGGAACGGCACAACAGAGCUUCCAGUUCAUGAUUAAAUAACUAGCUGAUGUUAACCAGCUGUAAGCAUACUGUUGUUUGGAAAAUUAAACCAUAAACCAUAUUACUUGGGAUGAUUUUGGUAUCACUAAAGGGAAGAAGUCACAGUGUAAUCAUAAUUGCGAUCUAGCUUUGUGACAUAAGGUUACUGAGGGAUGAAUAACAGCGAUGACCACACCACUUUAGCACCACGUGAUAUGUUACUGGAUCUUCACCCCAUGUUCAGUCUAUGUCAGAUCUACUUGCUUAGUUUUGGGCUCACUUCUGUGUAGCCGCUUUAAAACGCCACUCUGUACACAGACAGUCACUCUGAAUAAUAGGCCUGCAAGCCAUAAAUGUCAGCCCUUUAAAUCACACACAGACCGGCGCUGUGUCCCAGAGAGAGAAUGCUUCAUCACCGCUUAAACUACAGCCGCCCAUUUAUUAUGUGUAUGUUUAUAAAUCACUAAGGAGACCUCGCAUUCCUGAAGCCUGUAAAAGAGAGAGAGGGAGAGAGAGAGAGAGAGAGAGAGAGAGAGAGGGGGGAAAACAUUGGAAAGAGAAGAAGACCAGGGGACAGUGACUUAAGUGAGGAUGUGUGAGGAGUGGAUGGAGGAUAAGGAAUCACAGUCAUCGUCUUGGUUGCCUGCCUCCAGUUCCUCUGUUUGGGGAUAGCAAGGGACUUUAUUUUACAAGACCAAAAAAUUGUAUGCAGCAGAAAUCUCUUCUAAUUAAUCUUUAUUUUUUUGUUGUUUGUUUGAUUGUAUGUUUGUUUUUUAAUCUUAAAAUAUUUAAGAAGUAGUAGAAGUAAUUUUAACUGGGAGAUGCUUCACCUGCAGGGGUUGCCUUCUCUCUCUCUCAGAUUUUAUGUUCAAAUCAGGUAAAAAAAAAAAAAAAAUCCCUAAAGGUUUCUUCCUUACAUAAGCAAACUGAUAUAAUCAGAUAUAACUAUAUAAUAUAACUUUCAGAAGAAAUAAAAUUGUCUUUGAAAGAAGUAGUUUUUUGCCAUUCUUUGGUGAGGGAUUUGGGGGCUGCGAGCUGAGGUGUUGUUAAAGGGAUAUUCCGGCAUAAAUUAAAGUUUGGUCAAACACACAGUGCAGUGGAGUUUUGCAGCUCAAGGAAGAACUUUUAUGAUUGUUACUUCAUGGAAAUGCAAUCAGACUGAGACAUUAAGGCAGAAGAACUUCCGGGUCUGCAGUGCAAAAUGAUUUUUAUGAUGAUUAUUAUUUGAAGCUAAUGAUCCGCUGCACUUGGUGAUCGACUUGUCAGGGCUCCCUCACAAACAAGCGGCUGCUGGAGAAGAGUGGGUGAGUUGUGUUUAGUCUCUUUGAUAAAUAAACCAGGCAAAGCUAAAAAGAUGUUUGGUGUUUGGUGAUCUAGUACUAUGGCUGGGACCCUAUAUGUACUGUUGAUGAAGUUAGGUGCUGUUCUGAGCAUUAUUUGUGGCUAUAGAGUGGCUUUUUGGUUGAGGUUUGCGCGUGGAGACGUAGACUGCUGUGUAUUGCUAUCGUGGAAGUUGCUAUAACUAUAGAAGCAAGCAGUCGGCAAAAUUCAUCUCUUGAGGGGGUGUCUAUCUUAGUGUUAUGGUGUGUUCGACCCUAAUUUCAAUUUACACUGAGAAUAUCCCUUUCAGUAAUUGCUCAAAAGAAUAGGUCCUAAAUGCACAAAACUCCUUAAAACUCCAGCCGUAUGUUUGAACAUGAACAGCCAAAAUUUUCUCCCCAGCUUCUUCCUGCUUGUCCCCUUGACAUUUCUCAAAAAACUCAGGAUGAGCUGUUUUAAGAAAACAAUAGAAAACAUCAAGGGAGAUCCACUCUAGGUGCAAGCAGGUAAGGAUAUUGAUAUCAUGUGACAGACUGGAAGAAGAACAUCUGAGGUCAAAGACGGUAAAAGCAAAGUCAGGAACCUUUUUUAAGAUGAGAACAACAAUGAUGACAAUACACUUGUGUAUAUAUACAUCACAUUGAUGCAAAUGAAAGAACUUAACUCAUCAUACUGUUAGUUUGACCUCAUCAAAAACUGUACUCUUGUACUCUUCGGAUUUACAAGUCAGCUGAUUAAUUUAAUUGUUCAAGCUUUAGGUCAAUAUUUUCAGGAGCUAAACUGGACAGGAGUUCGAUUAUGCAGUCACAUUCAAGCCUAAAUUAAAUCUGACCAUAUUUGAGCAUAAAUGGUUUAUGAAGUCCUGCAAAGAGUCCACAUAAUCAAGGUGAAAGAAAAAAAAAAACAUGUUUUACUGUGUAACCUCCAAGUACAGACAUACACCAUGUAGAGUCCUUUGGCUGUGAUAUCCCACAGGUGUCUGCUCAGUGUCAAGCUACACCACCUUUCUCCUCUGACUAACACACUUUAGUUAUGGACAGUUAAUAUUAACACUCGACUGAGGGUGAAUUCCCAAGCGUC
rnacentral:lncRNA from 1 species